rnacentral:rRNA from 1 species
AUUGAACGCUGGCGGAAUGCUUUACACAUGCAAGACGAACGGCAGCACGGACUUCGGUCUGGUGGCGAGUGGCGAACGGGUGAGUAACAUAUCGGAACGUAUCCAAUAAUGGGGGAUAACGAGUCGAAAGAUUCGCUACUACCGCAUACGCCCUACGGGGGAAAGGUGGGGACCUUCGCGCCGGGCGUUAAUGGAGCGGCCGAUAUCUGAUUAGCUAGUUGGUGAGGUAAAGGCUCACCAAGGCGACGAUCAGUAGCUGGUCUGAGAGGACGACCGGCCACACUGGAACUGAGACACGGUCCAGACUCCUACGGGAGGCAGCAGUGGGGAAUUUUGGACAAUGGGCGCAAGCCUGAUCCAGCCAUUCCGCGUGAGUGAAGAAGGCCUUCGGGUUGUAAAGCUCUUUCGCAAGGGAAGAAAACUUAGCCACUAACAUUGGUUGAGGUUGACGGUACCUUGAUAAGAAGCACCGGCUAACUACGUGCCAGCCGCCGCCGUAA